rnacentral:lncRNA from 1 species
AGAAUCAGAAGAUCAUUAUUAAUAACGUCAUAACAAAGAAUUUCAUUAGAAAAAGAAAUUGAGCAACUAUUGCUCUUUUCAUUUAUUUCAAAAUCUCAUUGCAAUAGCAACGGUAUAAAAAAAAUGUUCCUAAUAAUCUUAGGCAUAUAACAAUAGUUUUCUAGCUCUAAGAUCUUCCCACAAGGUAACUCAAAUAUAUAUGUCCCUAUAGCUUCUGCCU